UAUUAACAUGCCUCUGUUGUUUGUUAACAUGCCUCUUUUGUUUUGUUAACAUACAUUUGCUGUUUUAUUAACAUGCCUCUGUUGUUUUGUUUAUAUGCAUUUGCUGUUUUAUUAACAUGCCUCUGUGGUUUUAUUAACUUGCCUCUGUGGUUUUAUUAACUUGUCUCUGAGGUUUUAUCAACAUGCCUCUGUUGUUUUUCACAGUCCUUUUAUAUCACAUCAGAUUUGGACCAACCCUUUUGGCAUGCAUUUGUGUGAACCCAGAGUUCCUAGGGAGAAGGUGUACAGGACAAGGAGAUCUCUCACUCCCUUUGGCUUCACCAGCUGGCAUCCCUCCAUUCAUCCUGGGACCAGAGGACUUCUCAUCUCCACACAUCAGGCCAAACUGAGGGAGGGAGUUAAAGACAGUGAAGAGAGAGCCAAAACUGUGGUGCAUGGUGGGGAUUUGUGUUGGCUGACGAAGGCGAGCCAGCCCUGUUUUGUUUUUCCACCUUCCUGUGCUUCACAUUUAGCAGUGCCACUGCCUCAGUCUACAAUAGAUGAGAGAUAUUCUGGUCAGCUGCCUAUCAGCUCCCAGCCUUAGAGCCCAGGCAGGGCCUGGGAGGAUCUGCUGGUACAGAGAGGAGAGUGUUGGAAGGGUCACAUUAAAACCUUCCCUCUUCCAGCCAGUAUCUCCCACCCACCCGUGCUCUUUUUUUAGGGACCCACUCUCACUGAGGCACAACCACAUUUACAUGCACCAAAAGCAUUACAGUGAUCUGUCACUCUUUUCUAGAGCAAAGAACAGAGUUCAUUCUUUGAGGACUACUCCACCUUGGUGUCUAUUUUGGCUAUUUAGUAUGGCAGCAUUCAGGUCUUUUUUUUCCUGAAUGGUUUUUGAUGUUGUGCUGACUCAGAUAAUGGAAGAUGUGAAAAGACGGGCUGGUUUUGGAUGAUUCUCCCCCAUAGGACAGUGUGGGUCCAGAUACAGUGCCUUGCCAAAGUAUUCAUCCCCCUUGGCAUUUUUCCUAUUUUGAUGCAUUUCAACCUGUAAUUUAAAUGGAUUUUUAUUUAGAUUUCAUGUAAUGGACAUACACAAAAUAGUCCAAAAUGGUGAAGUGAAAUGAGAAAAAUGACAGAAAAAUAACGGAAAAGUGGUGUGUGCAUAUGUAUUCUUUCUUACCCUUUGCUAUGAAGCCUCUAAAUAAGAUCUAGUGCAGCCAAUAUCCUUCAGAAGUCACAUAUUUAGUUAAAUAAAGUCCACCUGUGUGCAAUCUUAGUGUCACAUAAUCUGCCACAUGAUCUCAUACACCUGUUCUGAAAGGCCCGAAAGUCUGCAACACCACUAAGCAAGGGGCACCACCAAGCAAGCGGCACCAUGAAGACCAAGGAGCUCUCCAAACAGUUGGCCAAGCAGUGUGGGUAAGGAGCCAGAGACAGCAG
rnacentral:lncRNA from 1 species